GAUGAACGCUGGCGGCGUGCUUAACACAUGCAAGUCGAACGAAGCACUUAAGAUUGAUUCUUCGGAUGACGUCUUUUGUGACUUAGUGGCGGACGGGUGAGUAACGCGUGGGUAACCUGCCUCACACAGGGGGAUAACAGUUAGAAAUGACUGCUAAUACCGCAUAACCCGAUAGGAUCGCAUGAUCCAGACGGAAAAGAUUUAUCGGGGUGAGAUGGACCCGCGUCUGAUUAGCUAGUUGGUGAGGUAACGGACCACCAAGGCGACGAUCAGUAGCCGGCCUGAGAGGGUGAACGGCCACAUUGAGACUGAGCCACGGCCCAAACUCCUACGGGAGGCAGCAGUGGGGAAUAUUGCACAAUGGGGGAAACCCUGAUGCAGCGACGCCGCGUGAGUGAAGAAGUAUUUCGGUAUGUAAAGCUCUAUCAGCAGGGAAGAAAAUGACGGUACCUGACUAAGAAGCCCCGGCUAACUACGUG
rnacentral:rRNA from 1 species